CAGUCGCCGCGGGAAUACGAAGGGGGCUAGCGUUGCUCGGAAUGACUGGGCGUAAAGGGCGCGUAGGCGGCUUGCACAGUCAGAUGUGAAAUUCCUGGGCUCAACCUGGGGGCUGCAUUUGAUACGUGUGGGCUAGAGUGUGAAAGAGGGUCGUGGAAUUCCCAGUGUAGAGGUGAAAUUCGUAGAUAUUGGGAAGAACACCGGUGGCGAAGGCGGCGACCUGGUUCAUGACUGACGCUGAGGCGCGAAAGCGUGGGGAGCAAACAGGAUUAGAUACCCGCGUAGUCCCUGUCUCUUAUAC
rnacentral:rRNA from 1 species